rnacentral:rRNA from 1 species
UAGGGUUUGAUCCUGGCUCAGAUUGAACGCUGGCGGCAGGCCUAACACAUGCAAGUCGAACGGUAGCACAGAGAGCUUGCUCUCGGGUGACGAGUGGCGGACGGGUGAGUAAUGUCUGGGAAACUGCCUGAUGGAGGGGGAUAACUACUGGAAACGGUAGCUAAUACCGCAUAACGUCGCAAGACCAAAGAGGGGGACCUUCGGGCCUCUUGCCAUCAGAUGUGCCCAGAUGGGAUUAGCUAGUAGGUGGGGUAACGGCUCACCUAGGCGACGAUCCCUAGCUGGUCUGAGAGGAUGACCAGCCACACUGGAACUGAGACACGGUCCAGACUCCUACGGGAGGCAGCAGUGGGGAAUAUUGCACAAUGGGCGCAAGCCUGAUGCAGCCAUGCCGCGUGUAUGAAGAAGGCCUUCGGGUUGUAAAGUACUUUCAGCGGGGAGGAAGGUGUUGUGGUUAAUAACCACAGCAAUUGACGUUACCCGCAGAAGAAGCACCGGCUAACUCCGUGCCAGCAGCCGCGGUAAUACGGAGGGUGCAAGCGUUAAUCGGAAUUACUGGGCGUAAAGCGCACGCAGGCGGUCUGUCAAGUCGGAUGUGAAAUCCCCGGGCUCAACCUGGGAACUGCAUUCGAAACUGGCAGGCUAGAGUCUUGUAGAGGGGGGUAGAAUUCCGGGUGUAGCGGUGAAAUGCGUAGAGAUCUGGAGGAAUACCGGUGGCGAAGGCGGCCCCCUGGACAAAGACUGACGCUCAGGUGCGAAAGCGUGGGGAGCAAACAGGAUUAGAUACCCUGGUAGUCCACGCCGUAAACGAUGUCGACUUGGAGGUUGUGCCCUUGAGGCGUGGCUUCCGGAGCUAACGCGUUAAGUCGACCGCCUGGGGAGUACGGCCGCAAGGUUAAAACUCAAAUGAAUUGACGGGGGCCCGCACAAGCGGUGGAGCAUGUGGUUUAAUUCGAUGCAACGCGAAGAACCUUACCUACUCUUGACAUCCAGAGAACUUUCCAGAGAUGGAUUGGUGCCUUCGGGAACUCUGAGACAGGUGCUGCAUGGCUGUCGUCAGCUCGUGUUGUGAAAUGUUGGGUUAAGUCCCGCAACGAGCGCAACCCUUAUCCUUUGUUGCCAGCGGUCCGGCCGGGAACUCAAAGGAGACUGCCAGUGAUAAACUGGAGGAAGGUGGGGAUGACGUCAAGUCAUCAUGGCCCUUACGAGUAGGGCUACACACGUGCUACAAUGGCGCAUACAAAGAGAAGCGAACUCGCGAGAGCAAGCGGACCUCAUAAAGUGCGUCGUAGUCCGGAUUGGAGUCUGCAACUCGACUCCAUGAAGUCGGAAUCGCUAGUAAUCGUAGAUCAGAAUGCUACGGUGAAUACGUUCCCGGGCCUUGUACACACCGCCCGUCACACCAUGGGAGUGGGUUGCAAAAGAAGUAGGUAGCUUAACCUUCGGGAGGGCGCUUACCACUUUGUGAUUCAUGACUGGGGUGAAGUCGUAACAAGGUAGCCGA